rnacentral:lncRNA from 1 species
AUAAUGGUAAGAGCAUAGAUCUCAUCGACCAGGAAUUAAUCCAUCAGGCAAGCAGAAGACUGAACAAAACAGUACCUGCACAUAUUUUUUCCAAGAUGAUUAAUAUUGUUUUCUUUACUGUAAGGAACCAGCUUAAGGCCUUUAUGCAUUGAACAAACUACCAAGAUUUUGUAUCUUUCUGUAUGAUUCAUAUUGCAUAGACACAUGAGUAGCGAUGGGAUACUAUUUGGUAUGAACAACAUCAUCAUCUUGUAAUUUUAACAUGUAUGCAUUUAACUUAUUUAUGCACAUAAUAGUGAUGCGUCUUACGUAUCUAUCUAUCGUAUUUGAAUCUUCAAUGCAAUUAACUCCUUAAUUACCUUCAACGGGAUUGAGUGAUCUGGCAUAUAAGCUUAGCUCAGUGGUUCAGAUUAUCACUGUUAGUCUUCUGAUUGUGUCAAGUUUUUAGACUUCUUGAGGUAGUUCAACCAAUCUGGCAUAAAGCUAUGAAGGGAUUUUGCUUGGAAAGAUUACUGAAAGGAUAACUUAACUUCAUUUUAUCCCCUAGAUUAGUAUAAGUAUAUAUUAGGCCCUCAUUUAUUUAGAUGUAUAGCUUGCAUGCAGUCUUGUUUAAAUAGAUUUUUGGGGCAUUAAGCAAUGCAUACUCUGCUCACCAUUAUUCUCAUGUGUGUUGUUAGCCAAGCACUUGCUUUUCAAGAUAUCCUUUCCGAUGUUAGGCUGGGCAGCGCGAUUCGUCAGUGGCUGCUCAAUACAGUUGUGGUGAUCCCGGCGACGAGGACAUUAGGGACAUCAGCCCGGCGGAGUAUGGUGAGUCAGCUAUGAAGCCAGAUCCGCAGGCACCAAGUACCAGGGUGGAUCAAGAGGUAUGGGUGUCUGAAUUCCGUGCUGUGAAUAUUUGUGCUAAUUUUCUGGUGAACCGUGACGACGGGUAGAAAAUGGAAUUAGGCGUUCAUUUUGCUAUAGUGUUCGCUUGCGGUGGCGUGGGGCGCUGUGGUGAAAGUAAUUUUCUGAUAGAGGUGUUGUUGUGAGUAUGUGUUCUGUACUGAAAAAAUGCAUGUACUUAUGUUGCUGAAAGGGGUUAGGCUGUUCUGCCAGGUCGCUACGAGAGUUGCAAAAAGAUUUUGCGUUGCUGCACCUCAGAUUUUGUGCGCCCAUGGAAUUAAGUUGUGUGUUUGAUUUUUCCGUCAUACAUUUAGAGUUAUUUUUUUAUGCAGUGUUGGAUGCAAAAACAAGUUGUAGAUCAUGUGCAUAAGAUUUUGUAGGGGUAGUGAAAAAGUUGGUAUCUAAAUCCGUGUACAGAGGGCGGGUGAUGAGCUCAUAAUUUAUGGUGGGAGGAUGGGAUCUGUGUUUUGCAUCGCUCAGUGAAUAAAAUUGCACCGGUGUUCAGGAAUGUUGUCGCUAAGGGACGGGCGCCAUUUGGAGUAAUUCCAGGAAACAAAAACAGUGUUCCGUCCUGUGUUUUUCUUUUUUGAAAGCCCUCAUGCCCUUCCUUGUGUGUUUUUGUUUUGUUUUUUCUUUACUUUUUUUAAUCAUUGUUCACUGGAUUGGUAAUUUUGUUGUGUCUCAAGUGUUUCUCCCUGAAUGGCAGGUCGCUGAUUUGGGUUUUGCUUUAUCGCGGAGUUCUUGUGGGAGCGAAUCCGACAGAGCGAACCCUAUGCCUCGUUAGCAUGGGUACUCUUGAGAAGUCCAUAAGGGUUUUCGCAGAGGCAUACGACUUUUACAACCUGUAUUAGUGGGAAAAUGGGUUUAGUAUCAGGCAUGGGAAGAGCCGAUUGAAUCCUCACAAGCGGAAGACCAUGCAGGAGACUGUUUGUGGUUGCUCAGUAAGUAUAUCAAAUGAAAAUUCAGUUCUCCCUCAUAUUUGCGCUGGAUGAAGGGUCUGGUCUGAUGGUAAAACAUCCGUUGGAGAAGGGGGAUGCUUUGCGUGAGAAUACAAGGUCACGCCGAUGUGAGUGUCCUGCGAUAAUAAGGCUGCUACGGACAUUAGAUAAUGGGGGGUACAUAACGGAGCACCGGGUAGAGCAUAACAAUGUUAUGACGCCGGGAGAGAUGUUGCACUGGCCAUCGCACAAACACAUUGAUGUGUACAUGGGGGGCUUGGUGCGGGACUGAUCUAAUUGAGCGAAGCAAGAUUGGACACAUGGGGCAAUGGGGCUACGGGAAUCAUCCAUGGCCGCGCAUUACAGUGGCGGCAGGCCGGAUAACAAUGGCAGUAGGGACAGUGCCUCACGAAGUCCGAGGAGUCUGCAAUGAACCAGAUUCGUGAGCACCCGAUAGACUAAGAGGUAUCAGAUAACUUAGUAGAAACUGUGUUUUGGCUAACAAUACUGAGGUUAGGGUGUGUCUUCACAGGAAGGAAAUUGAAAAAUUCAGUGCCAGAUUUAAACCGUCGGGUGGGGGAAGGUGCUACAAUGAAAUUCAGUGUUGUUAGGUGCCCGUCUAACUGGCUAAUUUGAAAAGGUUGUAGAGUUAGGAGUGGCUGUCAUUUGUGAAUUUUGUUCGGAAAAAUCAAGGAUGCAUUGUGGGGUGUGGGAAAACAAAUCAUUUUUAUUUCAUGUAAUUUAUGUCCCCAAACCAUACCAUGGUAGCAAUAAUUUAAGAACUAUAGGAAAAUGAGAGUUGACUUGGAAUUCUGAAAUGUAUCAAUGACGAUCCUGUGAUUAUCAGAUUAUUAAUGUAUUCCUUGUGCCAUAAAUAUUUCUGCCGAUGCAACUGUGAGCUCAGGGGAAAUUUAUUUUAUAUUUUUAUAUAGUUGCAAUAAAAUGCUACGGUUGCCCGUUGGCUUGCAGGCCUGAUUAACUGGCUGAUGAAUAUUGUUACUCAAUUAAAAUGAUUUGGAAUUUUUUCAUGCCAAUAAAUACUCUCUGAAUUGUUUGUGUUUUGCAUAGAGUGUUGGGGAACGUAGUAAUUUCAAAAAAUUUGCUACGCAUACGCAAGAUCAUGGUGAUGCAUAGCAAUGAGAGGGGAGAGUGUUGUCUACGUACCCUCGUAGACCGGAAGCGGAAGCGUUAUAACAACACGGUUGAUGUAGUCGUACGUCUUCAUGGCCCGACCGAUCAAGCACCGAAACUACGACACCUCCGAGUUUUUGCACACGUUCAGCUCGAUGACGAUCCCCGGACUCCGAUCCAGCAAAGUGUCGGGGAUGAGUUCCGUCAGCACAACGGUGGGUGACGAUCUUGAUGUUCUACCGUCGCAGGGCUUCGCCUAAGCACCGCUACAAUAUUAUCGAGGAUUAUGGUGGAGGGGGGCACCGCACACGGCUAAGAGAUCAAUGACCAAUUUUUGUGUCUCUGGGGUGCCCCCUGCCCCCGUAUAUAAAGGAGUGGAGGAGGGGGCCAGCCAAGGAGGGUGGCGCACCCAAGGGGAGGAGUCCAACUCCCACCGGGAGUAGGACUUCCCCUUUUCCUAUUAGGAGUAGGAGAGGGAAGGAAGAGGAAGGAGGGAGGAAGGAAAGGGGGCGCCGGCCCCCUUCCCAAUUCGGAUUGGGCUUGGGGGGGCGCCCCCUCCCUUGCUCCUUUCCCCUCCUUUCCACUAAGGCCCAUAUACCUCCCGGGGGGUUCCGAUAACCUCCCGGUGAUCCGGUAUUGUCCCAAUCUCACCUGGAACCUUUCCUGUGUCCAAAUAUAGUCGUCCAAUAUAUCGAUCUUUAUGUCUCGACCAUUUCGAGAAUCCUCGUCAAGUCCGUGAUCACAUCUAGGACUCCGAACAACCUUCGGUACAUCAAAAUAUAUAAACUCAUAAUGAAACUGUCAUUGUAACAUUAAGCGUGCGGACCCUACGCGUUCGAGAACAAUGUAGACAUGACUGAGAGACGUCUCCGGUCAAUGACCAAUAGCGGAACCUAGAUGCUCAUAUUGGCUCCUACAUAUUUUACGAAGAUAUUUAUCGGUCAGACCGCAUAACAACAUACGUUGUUCCCUUUGUCAUUGGUAUGUUACUUGCCCGAGAUUGGAUCGUCGGUAUCUCAAUACCUAGUUCAAUAUCGUUACCGGCAAGUCUCUUUACUCGUUUCGUAAUACAUCAUCUCGCAACUAACUCAUUAGUUGCAUUGCUUGCAAGGCUUAAGUGAUGUGCAUUACCGAGAGGGCCCAGAGAUACCUCUCCGACAAUCGGAGUGACAAAUCCUAAUAUCGAAAUACGCCAACCCAACAUGUACCUUUGGAGACACCUGUAGAGCACCUUUAUAAUCACCCAGUUACGUUGUGACGUUUGGUAGCACAAAAAGUGUUCCUCCGGUAAACGGGAGUUGCAUAAUCUCAUAGUCAUAGGAACAUGUAUAAGUCAUGAAGAAAGCAAUAGCAACAUACUAAACGAUCGAGUGCUAAGCUAACGGAAUGGGUCAAGUCAAUCACAUCAUUCUCCUAAUGAUGUGAUCCCGUUAAUCAAAUGACAACUCAUGUCUAUGGCUAGGAAACAUAACCAUCUUUGAUCAACGAGCUAGUCAAGUAGAGGCAUACUAGUGACACUCUGUUUGUCUAUGUAUUCACACAUGUAUCAUGUUUCCGGUUAAUACAAUUCUAGCAUGAAUAAUAAACAUUUAUCAUGAAAUAAGGAAAUAAAUAAUAAUAAUUUAUUAUUGCCUCUAGGGCAUAUUUCCUUCACAGAGUUCAUGUAGCAAGAAAUGUGAUGUCUACCCUGCAAAAAAAGUGAUGUCUGAAGGGGUGCACACGUCUCCUUAGUAAAAAAGAGACUACAAUUAACACAAAUCCAAUGCGUCAAGGUCAGCAGUUCCAUAUUUUUAUGACCGGGAGUGUACCACUUCAUGCAUGCACUUUCUUUUAUUGUCGAUAGCCCGAUGCUUCGUGAAAUGUCUGAAUGAGAAAGGAAGAAAGAUAGAUAGAUAGAGAGUAUGUGUAGGAUGGAGCAUCAUGUAGUCUUGAGCCAUUGUACUGGAGUUGAUUUUUUUUCUUCCGUUGCAACGCACGGGCAUUUUUGCCAUAAACAUUUAUCCUGAUAUAAGGAAAUAUAAAUAACAACUUUUUUAUUGCCUCUAGGGUACAUUUCCUUCAGUCUCCCACUUGCACUAGAGUCAAUAAUCUAGAUUACAUUGUAAUGAUUCUAACACCCAUG